AUUAUUGUGGGUUUCAGUGUUUCAGUCACCUCUCAAUUGUCCGAGUUGCGUCGACCUUAUUUCUCCUAUUGGAAGAGAAGCAACAAAGAAAAGGAAGCUUCGUGUGUGAACCCAAGCACAAUCUACUGGUCUAGAUUUUGAUAAUCUGAGAGCUUUGGACACUAGCAACGAAUUCGAAGCUUUGGCACUGAAUUUUGGUUGUGAUUCAGUGCAAUAUCCAUGUAUAAUGCACACAAGGGCAGAAAAGGCC